CAGCCGCCGCGGUAAUACAGAGGGUGCGAGCGUUAAUCGGAUUUACUGGGCGUAAAGCGUGCGUAGGCGGCUUCUUAAGUUGGAUGUGAAAUCCCUGAGCUUAACUUAGGAAUUGCAUUCGAUACUGGGAAGCUAGAGUAUGGGAGAGGAUGGUAGAAUUCCAGGUGUAGCGGUGAAAUGCGUAGAGAUCUGGAGGAAUACCGAUGGCGAAGGCAGCCAUCUGGCCUAAUACUGACGCUGAGGUACGAAAGCAUGGGGAGCAAACAGGAUUAGAUACCCCUGUAGUCCCUGUCUCUUAUAC
rnacentral:rRNA from 1 species